CUAUGCGAUCUGCCAAUGCUGAGUGCGAAUUUUGCCGGCCUCCUGGUGGUAAAGUCAAGAUUUCCUUUCUGAGCCCCGCAGGCCACUAUCAUCAGACUGCAGGGGGACCUCACCUCAGCCACACACACUUCCUAGGGCUGAACACACAGGAACUGGAAUCCCAUUGGGGAGCAGAUGGGAACCAUUACAACUCAGAGAGCCAAAGGAAGAGGAAAGCCUGAGGUUCUGCUGCCCCUGCAAGUGCUCACAGGACAGCCACCAGCACCAGACACCUGUCCCCAGAGCAGUGGGACGGCGCAGGUGCUAUGGAGGGCCCACCAAAGUCUUGGGAGCCGAAGGACUGAAGUAGAUGACGGCAUGAAAGCUUAGGAACUCAACUGCUACUUCUGACAACACCAUCCCACUUGGCUGUGGAUAACCCACACAUCGGCAGAGC